rnacentral:rRNA from 1 species
CUCGUAGCUUGCUAUGAGAACAAUUAGUGGCAGACGGGUGAGUAAUGCAUAGGAAUCUACCUAGUAGUAUAGGAUAGCCACUAGAAGUGGUGGGUAAUACUGUAUAAUCCCUGCGGGGGAAAGAUUUAUCGCUACAUGAUGAGCCUAUGUUAGAUUAGCUAGUUGGUGGGGUAAUGGCCUACCAAGGCAGUGAUCUAUAGCUGGUCUGAGAGGAUGAUCAGCCACACUGGAACUGAGACACGGUCCAGACUCCUACGGGAGGCAGCAGUGGGGAAUAUUGGACAAUGGGCGCAAGCCUGAUCCAGCUAUGCCGCGCGAGUGAGGAAGGCCUUAGGGUUGUAAAACUCUUUCAGUGGGGAAGAUAAUGACGGUACCCACAGAAGAAGUCCCGGCAAACUCCGUGCCAGCAGCCGCGGUAAUACGGAGGGGGCAAGCGUUGUUCGGAAUUAUUGGGCGUAAAGGGCAUGUAGGUGGUUUGGUUAGUUAAAGGUGAAAUGCCAGGGCUUAACCCUGGAGCUGCUUUUAAUACUGCCAGACUGGAGUCCGGGAGA